rnacentral:tRNA from 1 species
GAGGGUGUAGCUCAGUGGUAGAGCGCGUGCUUAGCAUGCAUGAGGUCCUGGGUUCAAUCCCCAGUACUGCUA